AUUGAACGCUGGCGGCAGGCCUAACACAUGCAAGUCGAGCGGAUGAAGGGAGCUUGCUCCUGGAUUCAGCGGAGGACGGGUGAGUAAUGCCUAGGAAUCUGCCUGGUCGUGGGGGAUAACGUCCGGAAACGGGCGCUAAUACCGCAUACGUUCUGAGGGAGAAAGUGGGGGAUCUUAGGACCUCACGCUAUCAGAUGAGCCUAGGUCGGAUUAGCUAGUUGGUGGGGUAAAGGCCUACCAAGGCGACGAUCCGUAACUGGUCUGAGAGGGUGAUCAGGCACACUGGAACUGAGACACGGUACAGACUCCUACGGGAGGCAGCAGUGGGGAAGAUUGGACGAUGGGCGAAAGCCUGAUCCAGCCAUGCCGCGUGUAUGAAGAAGGUCUUCGGAUUGUAAAGCACUUUAAGUUGGGAGGAAGGGCAGUAAGUGAAUACCUUGCUGUUUUGACGUUACCAACAGAAGAAGCACCGGCUAACUUCGUG
rnacentral:rRNA from 1 species